UCUCAGUGAAGAGACGUUCACAUGUCUUAUUUUCUACCCUCAACCUAGUUCAACUGACAAGGUGACCACAUUUGAGCUGGUUUGGGGAGGAGAAGAGGAACAUUCAUUUCAGAAGGAAUUGUUUUGGGAU
ensembl:snoRNA SNORD22 Small nucleolar RNA SNORD22